UACGAAGGGGGCUAGCGUUGUUCGGAAUUACUGGGCGUAAAGCGCACGUAGGCGGAUAUUUAAGUCAGGGGUGAAAUCCCAGAGCUCAACUCUGGAACUGCCUUUGAUACUGGGUAUCUUGAGUAUGGAAGAGGUUAGUGGAAUUGCGAGUGUAGAGGUGAAAUUCGUAGAUAUUCGCAAGAACACCAGUGGCGAAGGCGGCUCACUGGCCCGGUACUGACGCUGAGGCACGAAAGCGUGGGGAGCAAACAGG
rnacentral:rRNA from 1 species